GCUGCUGGCGGGAACCGGUCCGCGAUCCCUGGACGGGAGACGAGCCUCGCUGCGGACUGAGGGUCGAGCCGAGCCUCGCGGGAAGCGGCGCUUCGGACCGGGGUUGGCCUCCCACCGCCCCGCCCUUCGUCGCUCCCGCAGCCCCCCACACCUGCGCAGGUGAGGCGGGGCGGGGCGGCCUCCCGUGGUGCUCCUCGCCUCGCGCGCGCCGCCCCCGCCCCCCGGCCGCCCGCGCUUUUCUCUCGGCCCCAACCGUCGCGGCCUUCGCGGGCAGCAGGGGGCGCCUCUCGCGCGGGGCGGAUUUCUCCUCAGCGCCUUCCUCGCCGCCUCGGGGCUGCUGCUGGAUGGCGCCUUUUCUGGCAAGGGCGCGUCGCCGGACGAGCCAUGGUCAUUGAUGCUGAUGUAAGCUGUUAAUUGAAGUGACCUCCAAGGGCUGCUGCAAGAUAGGAGAGCACCAGAGCCAAAUGCUACAACGAAGAGCCAACAGUGCUGCUAUCCCAGAACCUGAAUUCUGAUGAUCAGGAGUUGGUACUGAAGGCUUUGAAGCAUGUGCCUGAGAGCCAGCUCCACAAAGAUGGACUGAACACACUGAGACUCUCUCUUGUGAGAGGAAACAGCAAAGUUGUCCAUGCAGCCAGGAGAGUAUUGAGCAGCUGGUGUAUGUGAACCUAACUGAUAAGGAGGCUGUGUGGGAGUUAACCAAACAAAACCUGAUGCUGUGCAGUGAGUACCCUGCUGCCUGGCCAAGAGCCUCUCCCCCUCCCCCCGUACCUUAGCAGAUGGCUUCUUUGGCAGCUUGGGAGGAGUUGAGGUAGGGCAGGUAUAGGUUCAUGCCCUACAGGGAAGCUAUACAAAGCCUUUGCUAGCUUCGAGGUGGGGUGGGGGUAUAAAAAGUUGAGUUACCCCUGCGCCUCUGAAAACAUGAAGCUGUCUUAUACUGGAUCAGACCAUCAUUCAAGGUAAGUAUUGUUUACGGAUACUGGCAGUGGGUCUCCAGGGUAACAGGCAGAAAAGUGUUUUCACAUCACCUGUUGCCUAGUCCUUUUUAACUGGAGAUGAUGGGGAUUGAACCUGGGAUCUUCUGCAUUCCAAGCUAAUGCUCUACCACUGAGCAAUAACCUCUCCUCUUUGCUGGGUUUAAUGGCUGAAGAUAGACUACCCUCCACCUCCUUUGCCCUCUGAUGUGGGGACCUCCCGGUGGAGAAUGCUAAGCCAUCCUUGUUUAUCCUUUGUUAGAUGGCACUGAGAUACAUCUGAUUGGCUAAGUAAACCUCUGAGUUAUGAGGAGCCUGCUGCACGGGUCAGGAUGACGUUGGCCAGUUUGUUUCCCCCUCCUCAUCCCACCAAUGAGUCCACCCAGCAGAACAGAAUUGACAUCUCUACCUGCAUGUGAAUUGCUUUUGAUAGUGGAUUAAUCGUUACACGUCUCCAUGUGAUCCUCAGCAGAUAAUGAAGGUUCCUAUACAUCCACAGAUAGAGUGGAAGAUGGACAAGAGGUACAGCAAUCUAAUCCUGACUCUCAGGCUCGUCUUGCCGAUGCCAGAAACAUGAACAGACCCUUUGCGUUGCUUCAUGACAUGGCAGAGAAAUUGAUCACACAAUGUGAGGGGGAGGAACCAUCGAGAAUCAUAUCAGAAGUUAUCAGGGGUUCUCGUCAAAACAGUGUCACGCUGCUCCCUCUGCAUCACAAGGCCUCAUCGAGACCCUCCACAGGCUGACACUCCUCCUCCUGCAUCAUCUGCCCAUGGAAAGUUUCUCUGAGUGCCAAUGUACAUGGCACAGAAAACAGCAGUAAUCUCUUUCCUGUGGGUGGUAAAGGUCUGUUGCCUCCAGUUAAGUAUGGUUGCAUCACGCUGUUCGGAGGUUGCCCUGUGCAUAGGUAGAAACUGUUUUUCUAUUUUCUAUUGGUAAUAUUGUUGGUAGAGAAACAGGUAUUCAACUUGUUCCCCAUGUGGUUUGACUGGUUUUGUUACAGUAAAGCACAAUAACUACAGUUUUCUGGUUUUAAAAAAGAUCUUUUUCAAAAACUAGGUAAGGCAAACAGCGUACAGUGCUUAGAAAACAUAUUUUCUUUCCAACAUUCACUCGGUAAUAAAUAACAGUCAUGUAAUAAGAAAGAUCUAAAUAAUCAAGGAACAUUGGAAUCUUCAACUGUUUACAGUAUAAUUCCUCCCUAGAAGCUGAGGGUGCAGUACUGGCUGAGGCACUUUCCAUGCAGGCCACUUUUCUUUCAAGUUGGGCCAAUUAGUAAGAAUCUUGUUAUUAACUCAUAAGGCUGUAUAUGUAUCCAACUUUAGUUUCUCCCAUUUGAUUAGCAAAUCCAAGUGAAAAUCUUGCAGUUUAUCUAGAUUUCUUGCAGCAGAAGCAAAAGGGGUUAUUCCCCAUGACAACUUUGUAUUCAACUUAUCCCAGCAUUGUAAAAGAUUAUUCAUUACAAAAUUGUUACUCUUCUAGAACUUUCCCUUUUCUGUUUUCUUAAUCUGCAAGUGAUGAGAAGACACUCCGCAAUCCAUGCUUGCUCAGUUGCAAUUUCAGAAGGGUCCUCAAGUUCUAACACCCAUCUGCUGGUCCAAGAUGAUAGUGCUGCAGUGUGACAUAACUAAAUAUUAGGUGCACAACAAGGCACCCUAAAUAAGGACCUGAGGAGUUUGGAUUGGGUUGCUUCUAGUUUAGGGAAAUUUCUGAAUAAGCAUAUCUAUGAACCAUACAUGAGAUGGGAUAAUCACCUUAUCCUGAAAGACUUUUAUUGCAUAUGGUAUAUGAGAACCCCCUUUGGUAAAGAAAGAAUUUUAAAAUUGCUGCAACCACUCUUUGGGCAUUCUCAAUUACAUAGGAAAGCUGAGCUCUUCAUAAGCCAGAUGAUUCGGAAAACUACUCCUAAAUAAUUGAAUGUUUUAACUUGAUCAUUCUCAUGACUGUCAAUCUGCCACCUGUACUUAGUAUAUUUUUUGGAGAAAAAACAAUUUUGGUCUUGGAGAAAUUGAUUGUUAACGUCUCCUAGUAAGGCGUAAAUGUCCAAAGGGCUCUUCUGAGCCCUGCAUUGGAGUAUGAUAGAAUGAUCAUUGUCUGCCUGUAAUAGUGUGGCAGUUGGUCUGUUUGCCAGAUUGGGUGGAUGGAAAUCUGGAUUGGUUAAGGUUUGCACCAUAGAAUGUAUAUAAAAAUUAAAUUACAAGGGAGCCAGGAUUCAUCUUUGCUUCACGCCUCUCCUGACAGGUACCAAAUGGGACAAAUAACCUGAUGGGUUGCAUCUCAUUGAAAAAUAAUUGUUUUCAUGUAGUGUAUGUAUAAGAGAAAACAGUCUAUGAUCUAUUGAAGAAGCUUCUAGUUUUAACUGUAGUCUGUCUCGUGAGAUAUUGUCAAAUGCCAUUUUGUGGGUGACAAAGGCUGUGUAAAGUGACCAGGCAGUAUAUUUCUCCACCAGAUGAUGUAAAAUCAGACACUGAUCUAUAGUGGAGCAACCACUACUAAAUUAAGAACCAAGAAAGUUAAAGAAAUCCCAAUCCAUGGCCCAAAUAUUAAAAUUACUAAAUAUAGAACAUAAAUAUAUAUCAAUAUACAAAUAUAAAUGUAUUUAUUACAGGAUAAUGUAAAAAGUAUUACAGGUCCAAAUAUAACCUCAAUUCAGAUUAAAGUGAGACAAAAAACUCAAUCAAGAACCUGAUGUGACCUUCACCAAGCGUGUUUCGGCCAUGUGGCCUUCUUCAGUUGUCAAGGAUUACACAGUAACUGCAGACAAUGCAAUAAUAUGACAAGAAUUGAUAAAUAAAAGCAAUAUAGGACCAAGUUGGAAUUAUGCUAGAAAGGGGGGCAGGGAGAAGAAAAUUAUUGAUUAUUAAACUUGGUGCAAUAUUUUUACUACUUUUACUAUUAUAACAUAAACAUGUAUUUUUCUUGCAAAAAUUAUUGAAAAUAAUUUAUUUCCAAUUAAUAUCAAUAACUCAAGGCAUCAAUAACACAAUAUGUACUUUAAAAACCUCAUUUGGAAUCACCUUCAGCCCUAGUCAGGUACAUGUGUCUUCGUUGGUAAUUCAAUUGUGUACUACUAAACUACUACUAAAAAGCUAUUA